GACGAACGCUGGCGGCGUGCUUAACACAUGCAAGUCGAACGGAAAGGGCGUGCUUACGGCGGGGCGUCGGGUAGCGAAGGGGUGAGUCACACGUGAGUAACCUGCCUUUGUUUGGGGGAUAACGCAAGGAAGCUGGGGCAACUACGUGAAAGGAGCUACAGCUCCAGGGGGCGGGUCGGACAGUGUCGGCUGCUGGGCUGUGAGUCGGGGCUAAUGAGCCGGCUGGUCGGGUAGUGGCUCACCAAGGCUAAGGCGGGUAGCCGGCCUGAGAGGGAGACCGGCCACAUUGGGACUGAUAUACGGCCCAGAAGCCGUCGGGAAGCAGCAGUGGGGGAUAUUGCCCUAUGGGAGGAACCCUGAUGGAGCAAUGCCGCGUGCGGGAUGACGGCCUUCGGGUGGUAACCCGCAUUCGCCUGUGACGGAGCGGUAGUGACGGUACUGGGAAAAGAAGCACCGGCUAACUACGUG
rnacentral:rRNA from 1 species